CUAGAGUAGUAUUAGUUAAGGUCUUGAAACUCAAAAAAUUUGGCGGUAUUUUAGUCUAUUUAGAGGAACCUGUAUUUUAAUCGAUAGUCCACGUUGGAUCUUACUUAAAUUUGUUUAUCAAUUUGUAUACCGCCGUUAUUUGAAAAUUUUAUAAGAAUAAUAAUUUUCAGAAUUUUUAAUUAAAAAAUAAAUCAGGUCAAGGUGCAGUUUAUGUUUAAGUUUUUAUGGGUUACAAUAAAUUUAUUUAUACGGAUUAACUUUUUGAAAUUAAGUUAUGAAGGAGGAUUUAAUAGUAAAUUUUUAAAGAUUAAAAAAUUGAUU
rnacentral:rRNA from 1 species